rnacentral:tRNA from 1 species
UCCCGCGUAGCUCAACGGCAGAGCAUCCGACUGUUAAUCGGACGGUUGUUGGUUCGAAUCCAACCGCGGGAG